rnacentral:lncRNA from 1 species
GUUGCAUCCUCCUCACGAGCCUCCCGCGACGGGAUUAGCCACAUUUUACCAACGAAGGCCUCCACCCUCCCGGAAGACAGCAACUGGCCCAAGGUGACACGGCUGGGAAGGAAGAGUGCAGGGAUUUGAAUCCAGGACUUUUUUUCUCUUUUACUCUACUUCGCGUGGCCCCUGGCUGCUAGGGUGCUGGGGAACCUGCCCCAGUGCGACCUGUGCGGUGGCUCCGUCCUGGUUGUGCCUCCAGGGGACCGGCUGCCGUGAUGCAGAACUAAGGUGGAAAUGACCCAGUGAGGAAGGAAAAUGAGCACAGCCUGCCCUGGUCAUACAAUUAAAAUAUAUACGCUGGCCAAAGGUCAUUUUCAUAGUUGGGUGAGGAGACGCUUCAGACGUGCGAUGAGCCACAGCCGGUAGCUGGUUCUCUCCUGGGAUGCGCAUUUAGAUCCCCAUCUUGUUGAUCCCAAAGACUCUACCUGCACCCAGGAUCCAAAAGUUUUAAUGUAGGAGAACCACAGCGUCCCUUUGUAAUUGUGGGUAAGCACAUCUUGUUUCUAUAACUUUCGGGUUGAUCUGCUGAUCUAAUCAUGCUGUUCCUUGGGCCAAAUCUAACCCUGUAUCGUAAUGCUCCAGACAAAAGAAAGGGCUGUUUCCUGGAGGCCUGUGGCUUCUUUGGUCUGUGGAAGGUCUGCUGAAGUAGACCCUGAGCAAGAGAGAAGGAAAGGGAAGUACUAGGGUGAAGAGGAAGGGCAAGCUGCUCCCAGAGGUGAACCCAGAAAUGCAUGUCAGUACAAG